GCGUGGAAGCUCCCGGGCGCGCGCUCGUCGCGGAGGCUCCGCCUUUCCCGCACGGUCUCGGAGCCUUCCGCAGUCCUCUAGAGUUCACGCCUGCACCUAGCGAUUUGCUCCUCAGGGCAGUCUCCGGAGACAAACAACACUGUUAUUCCCGCCUGGAGGACACUGCCAGUAACCGUCACCAGCAGGACUCCAAGUCCGGACCAUCAACAAACUGGAGGAGUCUGGGUGUCAGGGGGGUCCCCCAUGCACCUGUGUGGGGCUGGAAGCCAGAGGGGCCCAGGGGCCGGUGCUGGCAUGGAGCCGUCGAGGUCCAGGCGACCCCCAGCUGGUCUCGGAUCGAGACUGGAUUACGACAUUUCCUCUGAAUCCCAACGAACACAAGCAGGUGACCAAGAGGACUUCCGUAAAGGCCUGAGAGUCUUCAUAAAAAAAUAGACAUCUGUGUGUGCGUGGUGGUGCCGCUGCGGCCGCAUCAGCUCUCCACGGUCCGCCGGUACUCUGCGGUGCCGUCUGCUAUGAUCGCGUCCAGCGGGGAGCGCUUCUUCCGGAUGCUGCGCCCGGAGGAGAUGAGGUCCGCGUAGCCCCGCUGGUGCGAGAAGGCGUAGGCGGAGCGCCGCGAGGACACGCCCCGGCGGAACACCUGCUGCCGCCGCUUCCACUGCUCUUCCGCUUUCAAGCGCUUGCGGUGCUUCUGGAUCUGUGGCAGGGGAAGAGAGAGCGAGGCCCACAAUGAAAUGGAAGAAAAUACCAACCUGUAAACUGAAAUGCAGAUGGAAAGAGAACAUGUAUCCCAGCACUAUGAAAGUCAAACAUGAUGCCAAAGUAAAGUGCAAUGCUUCCAAAAAUUGAAAAAGCAUUCACAAAGGUCCAGUAAGAAGUAUCCAAGCCGAUCUGUCGGGAAAGCAGAGAAAAACAGCACUCAUUUUGGGGAGUCAACCAGGAAGUAAAGGAUCUAAGGAUUCUGAAAACAGAAUUCAGGACUUUCGGCAUGAUUUGGCUUGACUACUGAACAGUGAGACUACCCUCGGCUCAGAGUACCCAUUGAAGAAGGAGUACCAGAAAUGAACCAGAGUAAACGCGAAGUUUUUAUAAAAGAAGUAGCGGAGGAACUUGCACAUCCUGAUGUAAGACCACCGGCCGUGCACCAGCAGCAGCCUCUGCAAGUAUCUGAACUGGGCGAAGGAGUAGUCACUCGACAUGACAGCUUGCAUGCCCUCCUGUCCGCUUAUUCCAACUCCGAUGUGGGCAGCUGAGGGGCGGAGGGAGAAGAUAAUGUGAAUCAGGAGCUAAUUUUAAAGCAAAACAUUGAGAUGAUAAAAAUGUUUCCAUAGCAAAACAAAGAAACAGACAUUCACGGAAUGAAAACCCUUGCUCACCAACCCCGCCUUAGCUUCUGAACUCAACUUUGUGCCAGGGAGACAAGUUGCUAAAAAAAAAAAAAAAAAAAGGCACGGUGGGGCCUCUAAAGAGGUGGGUGGUAAAUUCCAUUUGGGUUAUCUGCCCAGCUCAUCAGCCAUCCUUCCCACCCAUGGAGUGAGCCCAAGGAAUCCACGCGUACUGUGUGUCCCUGCCUCCCUGGCCGCAGGGGAGUCAGCCCUGGGCUGGUCUGUCAUCGGUCAGACACUACAAAUGGGCUCCUUCACUCCACCCUUGUUCCUUUGGGAAGGUGGGAAGGCAAAUAAAAGCCUAACCCCGCUCUGACUUCCUUGCAGCACGGUUCCGUUUGUGAAUUGGGUUCCAUUGUUAGGAGCCGCCUGGAGUCCAGCAGCCCUUCCCUUUGUGGCAUUUCUGCAGCAGAGUUCGUGUCCUCUCUCCAGCUGCCUGCAGGUUGACAGGCAAAAGCUUUUCAGCUGAAAACUCUUCACAGAAGCCUCAGAGUUAGAAGCUCCUCUGGUGAGUGACUAAGACAUUCGAGACUCAUCCUAGCACCCACUUCUUCAGUCCAUCCAGAGCUUUUAUGAGCACUUAGUCCCUUACGUUAAUCACUUCCUGCUUAAAGUACCCAGUGGGGUCUGUUUCUUGUAUUAUCCUUGACAGAAAACCCAAGCUGGACCAACCCAUGUCUCUCUCACAUUUUGGAAUUAAGAUUUGGGUUUGGGUUUGUAAAUCUUGAGUUGUGGGACAGAUAUAUUGAUUUCCAAGGGGUUCUGAGGAGCAGAAAUAAAGAGGUCUAGAAGGAGGGAUAAACAGAAGCUAGGUUCCUGGUUCCAGCAUUUUCUCUAAAGUCUGGGCUCUUGGGAGGCAUGAAACCUCUUCAUAUCUCUUACAUUUCUUUUUGUCUUAAGCUUGUUUUAGCUGUUCUCUAAUAUUUGCAAUCAAAAGCAUUUUAACUAAGAUACUAUUAAACUUUCAACAUUUAGCCAUGGCCCUCUGUGACCUUAAGAGACAUAAUUCUUCCCCCUCUGCAGAAGGUUUCCAGAAUGGAUAAAAAUGAAAGUGACCGUUCUUCCAAUAGUCAUUUAGUCACGGUUUCAACUUAGAGAAUCGCGAAUUUUAUAUAGGGCUUAAAAGGCAUGGAACUAAAGACCUACUGAAAUCUGUCAGAGAACGUGUGUUGAGAACACAACUUAUUAUUACUUAGACCCAGAGAAGUGACUGCCAAUUUCAGCAGAGUUUCCAACUGAAAGCAGCUCCAAAAAUCCUGCCGUAGUGGCAGAGUACAAGGUCUGGCAAAUUCAAAGCGACACAGUGACUUGGCCAAACCUAAGUUUUCAGUAACACUUUGCAAUGCUAAAAAAUAGGAUAAAUUGCAUGUCUCAUUCAAUAUUUAUGCCUUCGUUUAAACACAUAAAUAAUUCUUAUGACUAGUUGGGGUUGCCCAGCCAUGCUUUCCUACCAAACCAUGGGCUUCUUUCCUGAACAAGCAACAAAGGGAAACGCUGACAUUCUCUUGGAGCCAAGGAGAAGGGGCCCUGCCACAGGCCCGGACGUCCAGCCCAGUCCGUUUGCUGAGCACGCCGAGGACAGUGUGUGACAGAACACGGCCACAGUUCACAGGGGAUCCAAGGCAACCGAAGAGAUGUGCUUUAGAAUACUCUAAUCUAAAUACAGACACCGAGCUUUUCCUAAAGCUUCAAAAACGUGGUUUCAGAUGUCUCCCUGGUAGGCUCCUUCAUAGCUCCUGUCUCCCCUCUCAUGCUUCUUGUCCAUUCUUAGGGUCUUAGGCCAAGAAAAACGCCACCCGCCAGCCAGCAGACGUCUUCAGGCCCAAGAGAGGGAGUCGGGGCAGCCCAGGAGAGUCCUAGGGUCCUCGCCAGAGACAAAAACAUGGGGGCAGGGUUGCAGUUCCCUCCCCUUCUAAAUGUGGAGCAUGCUAGCAAAUGGCCCAGUGUUCUUGACACUUAAAUUUGUACUUUAUAAACAAACAUAAUUUUUGUAUAUUGUAUUUUACACAGGUGAACAUGACGCCAGUUUUUCUAAAAUACAAAAAGGCACUUUUAAUACUUGGGUAAAGCCAUGGACUUCCAAGGACCCCUGAGUUUCACUGAUUUGCACCACAAAUGGAUGUUCCCUGUUAAUAUAAAAGCAACGGCCAUAUAACAGAGCUUAAGAAAACAAGUCUCUGUAAGGUUCUUUGUUGACUUUCUGAUCCCUUUCACUAUCAAUUGUAAACUCAGAGGAACAAAAAAAAUGUUCAAAUCUAAGUCACAUAAUCAGAUGGUAUAUUUGCAAGGUAACCCUCUCUCCAACAUCUAGAAGUCUCCAUUGUAACUUAAUAAAACUAAUGUUUGAGUUA